ncrna:unclassified sequences IMES-2 RNA motif
AGGUGACUUAAGAGGCAACUCUUAACUGGCCAGAUAGGGAAAGACCGAGAGGUUCAAGCUUAUAGGGCAGAAAGCUUUGCACAGUAGCGCUUAACAUAGCAGAGCGGCGGGUUCGGCGGUAGCGACUACAACGACGAACCAA